rnacentral:rRNA from 1 species
GUGAGGAAUAUUGCGCAAUGGAGGCAACUCUGACGCAGCCAUGCCGCGUGCAGGAAGAAGGCGCUACGCGUUGUAAACUGCUUUUAACCGGGAAGAAACCCCAGGACGUGUCCUGGGUUGACGGUACCGGAGGAAUAAGCACCGGCUAACUUCGUGCCAGCAGCCGCGGUAAUACGAAGGGUGCAAGCGUUAUCCGGAUUCAUUGGGUUUAAAGGGUGCGUAGGCGGAGCGUUAAGUCAGGGGUGAAAUCCUGCAGCUUAACUGUAGACUUGCCAGUGAUACGGGCGGUCUGGAGUGAGCUUGAAGUGGGCGGAAUGUGCCGUGUAGCGGUGAAAUGCUUAGAUAUGGCACAGAACACCAAUUGCGAAGGCAGCUCACUAAGGCGAUACUGACGCUGAGGCACGAAAGCGUGGGGAUCGAACAGGAUUAGAAACCCCUGUAUCC